CCGUUCGAUCGGGUGGCCCAGCCGGUUGGCUGGCCCGUUCGAUCGGGUGGCCCAGCCGGUUGGCUGGCCUGUCCGAUCGGCCGG
rnacentral:pre_miRNA from 1 species